GUCAGGUCAUACACUCGUACCUGGUGGGAGAAGAGAGUGAAGAAGGAGCUUGGGGACAAAAGGACCCUGCUGGGGCCACAGUGGGAGCACUGGAGUAACCCACGUUCCUUCCUCCUACAUGUUCCACCAGGUCAACCAUAGUCUGCAGAAUAGCCUUCCCAGUGAGCAGAACUUGCCUCAAGAGGUCACGCAGUGAGAGACUCACACCCGUGCCAGUCCCCAGACGCCCAAACUCGAUUCUGUCUGAUGAACCAAGCUAAUUUGUCGGGAUGGUGGAGGAAGGGUUAAGGAGGAGGUGAAUGGCAAAGAGUGGGGCUUCUUCCUCUUCCACCUUCAACUCAAGACAGAGGCCGAACCUGCAGGCCGAACAAGUUCUGUACGUACCGCCAGGGGGAGACAGAGGCCAGGCUAAGCACCUAUCUGAAAGGAAAAGGUGGCACUAACUUGAUGUUCAAAGAGCCCUGUUCCCAAACCUGGUUUCAGGGAAUUAAUCAGUAGACCUCCAGAGAACCUCCUACCCCAUGCACUGUCCAAAUGAGGACAAGGCCCUUGUGGCCCUAAUGCAAGACAGGAGUAGCCCUCAGGAAUCACUGGCACCAAGUCUGUGGUUGGGAUGCCAUCUCUGUGCUCUGCGGGCGGAAUGCUUCCUGAAGGUAAGGCUCUCUCUUCCUGAGCUGAAGUGAGCCCCCAGAAGGGGUGGCUUUCCUGGCAGCUUCCAAAUAAAAAUCUCAUAAUGAUCA